rnacentral:rRNA from 1 species
UAAAAUUUUAAAUUAUAAUAUUGAAGUAGUAUUAGUUUAAGUUCUUGAAAUUUAAAAAAUUUGGCGGUAUUUUAGUCUAUUCAGAGGAACCUGUUUUGUAAUCGAUAGUCCACGAUGAACCUUACUUGAAUUUGUAAUAUAGUUUAUAUAUCGUUGUUUAUUGAAUAUUUUAUAAAAAUAAAAAUUUUCAUAUUUUUAAAAAUGAAGUUAUUUCAAAUCAAGAUGUAGCUUAUAUUUAAGUUUAUAAUGGGUUACAAUUAAAUUAUUAUUGAAUUUAUAAUUUAAAUUAAUUAUUUUGAAAAUGGAUUUGAUAGUAAAUAUAUAUAGA